UACGUAGGGACCGAGCGUUGUCCGGAUUCAUUGGGCGUAAAGAGCUCGUAGGCGGCUGCUCAAGUCGAAUGUGAAAACUCGAGGCUCAACCUCGAGCCUGCAUUCGAUACUGGGCGGCUAGAGUCUGGUAGGGGGAUCUGGAAUUCCUGGUGUAGCGGUGGAAUGCGCAGAUAUCAGGAGGAACACCGGUGGCGAAGGCGGGUCUCUGGGCAGUAACUGACGCUGAAGAGCGAAAGCGUGGGGAGCGAACAGG
rnacentral:rRNA from 1 species